UGGUGGAGUGAUUUGUCUGGUUAAUUCCGUUAACGAACGAGACCUCCGCGUGCUAACUAGUCUACUCUACACUUUGUUGUAGUGUGGGACUUCUUAGAGGGACUUUUGGGUAAUCAAACCAAAGGAAGUUGGAGGCAAUAACA
rnacentral:rRNA from 1 species